UACGGAGGGAGCUAGCGUUGUUCGGAAUUACUGGGCGUAAAGCGCACGUAGGCGGCUUUGUAAGUUAGAGGUGAAAGCCCGGGGCUCAACUCCGGAACUGCCUUUAAGACUGCAUCGCUUGAAUCCAGGAGAGGUGAGUGGAAUUCCGAGUGUAGAGGUGAAAUUCGUAGAUAUUCGGAAGAACACCAGUGGCGAAGGCGGCUCACUGGACCGGUAUUGACGCUGAGGUGCGAAAGCGUGGGGAGCAAACAGGG
rnacentral:rRNA from 1 species